AAAUAAGAAGUAAAAUAUUACAUUUAGUUUCGACCUAAAUAUUUGGUUAAAUCCCUUAUUUA
rnacentral:tRNA from 1 species